rnacentral:rRNA from 1 species
CCCUUAGAUGUCCGGGGCCGCACGCGCGCUACACUGAAGGAAUCAGCGUGGCUUUCUCCCUGACCCGAAAGGGUUGGGAAACCCGUUGAAUCUCCUUCGUGAUAGGGAUUGGGGCUUGAAAUUGUUCCCCAUGAACGAGGAAUUCCCAGUAAGCGCGAGUCAUAAGCUCGCGUUGAUUACGUCCCUGCCCUUUGUACACACCGCCCGUCGCUACUACCGAUUGAACGGUUUAGUGAGGGCCUCGGAUUGGUCUCGGCCCGCUCUUUACCGGGCGGCGCCGUUGGUCGAGAAGACACUCGAACUUGAUCGUUUAGAGGAAGUAAAAGUCGUAACA